rnacentral:rRNA from 1 species
AAACAUGUCCUUUUGAUUUUAAUUUAAGGUCUAGCCUGCCCACUGAAGUUUUAAAUGGCCGCAGUAUUCUAACUGUGCAAAGGUAGCAUAAUCAUUAGUCUUUUAAUUGAAGGCUGGUAUGAAUGGCUGGACGAGAUACUAUCUGUUUCACAUAUAUUUAUUAUAGAACUUUAUUUUUUAGUCAAAAAGCUAAAAUUUAAUUAAAAGACGAGAAGACCCUAUAAAUCUUUAUAUUUAAGUUAUUUUAGUCAUAUAGAUGUUUUAUUCUACUAUAGCGAGAAAUAUUUUAUUGGGGUGAUAUUAAAAUUUAAUAAACUUUUAAUUUUUAAGGACAUUAAUUUAUGAAUAAUUGAUCCGUUUUUAGCGAUUAUAAAUUUAAGUUACUUUAGGGAUAACAGCGUAAUUUUCUUGGAGAGUUCUUAUCGAUAAGAAAGAUUGCGACCUCGAUGUUGGAUUAAGAUUCA